UACGAAGGGGGCUAGCGUUGUUCGGAAUCACUGGGCGUAAAGCGCACGCAGGCGGAUCGUUAAGUCGGGGGUGAAAUCCCGAGGCUCAACCUCGGAACUGCCUUCGAUACUGGCGAUCUUUGAGUCCGGGAGAGGUGAGUGGAACUCCGAGUGUAGAGGUGAAAUUCGUAGAUAUUCGGAAGAAUACCAGUGGCGAAGGCGGCUCACUGGCCCGGUACUGACGCUCAGGUGCGAAAGCGUGGGGAGCAAACAGG
rnacentral:rRNA from 1 species